rnacentral:rRNA from 1 species
AUGCGAGGUGGAGAAAUAGAGAAAUCUGGCACCCUGGAUUCUCCCCCGAAUUCAUCUCUCACUCCUCGGAAUUCGCACAUCUCUUCUUUCAUGUCCAAUAGUGUAAUGGGAAUGAUAGUUCAAGAUCUUUACGGGGAUGGACGAGAUAGAAGAAUGUUGCUCCAGGAUGGAUCCAUGACCACUUCAUAUCCUUCCAACCUCAUGUAUUCUGUGGAAUAUGUACCAAUAAAAAUGCUUCUUCGCCGAGGCGAUGCUAUGAGUAAUGAGUUGCAUGUACGUGUUCCUUUUUCUGAUUUGUAA